rnacentral:rRNA from 1 species
AUUGAACGCUGGCGGCAGGCCUAACACAUGCAAGUCGAGCGGAUGAGUGGAGCUUGCCCCAUGAUUCAGCGGCGGACGGGUGAGUAAUGCCUAGGAAUCUGCCUGGUAGUGGGGGACAACGUUUCGAAAGGAACGCUAAUACCGCAUACGUCCUACGGGAGAAAGUGGGGGAUCUUCGGACCCCACGCUAUCAGAUGAGCCUAGGUCGGAUUAGCUAGUUGGUGAGGUAAAGGCUCACCAAGGCGACGAUCCGUAACUGGUCUGAGAGGAUGAUCAGUCACACUGGAACUGAGACACGGUCCAGACUCCUACGGGAGGCAGCAGUGGGGAAUAUUGGACAAUGGGCGAAAGCCUGAUCCAGCCAUGCCGCGUGUGUGAAGAAGGUCUUCGGAUUGUAAAGCACUUUAAGUUGGGAGGAAGGGCAGUAAGUUAAUACCUUGCUGUUUUGACGUUACCAACAGAAUAAGCACCGGCUAACUUCGUGCCAGCAGCCGCAGUAAUAC